UUUGAAGAGGAUGGUGAAUAGUGAAUACUGAAUACACAGUGGAAAGUGGGGAGCACGCGAAGUGGAAAAGAGCGUGAAGGAUGUCAAACAGUAAAAGUUAGUUAGCGCUACUGUCGUGGCUAAAACCGUAAAUGCAUCCGUCUGCGUACUCCGACCCCCAGACGGCACUCUCUCUCUCUCUCCUAUCUCAUCUCAGACACUAUCGCUCGCCAACAUACAAACAUACACACUCACUCAAAGGACUCAAGAAAGAGAGUGCUCAUAUGUUAAAAAAACCGUCUCCAUUCACUGCCAAUAUCUGUCCCUCGAAUCUAUAUCGCUCUUCAUCCGUAUCGCCUUCUAAACUCUAACUGAGCAAAUGCGGCCGCUCCCGCCUUCCUCCGACCUCCGCCGCUUGGACCAUCGGAUUUGGCGGGCCUGCGCGGGGUCAUCGGUUCAUAUCCCCACUGUCAAUUCUAGGGUUUACUACUUCCCUCAAGGUCACCUCGAGCAGUCCUCCUCUUCUGUUUCUCAUUCUCUCCUUUCUCCUCUCGCUCGCUCCAGACCUUCAAUCCCUUGCCAAAUCUCUGCCGUUCAAUUGCUAGCCGACCCUGUUACCGAUGAGGUGUAUACGAAACUUCUUCUCUUUCCUAUUGAUCCUUCAUUGAACCAUUCUCUUCCCCUUCUGGAACCUUCUGGACGCCUCGGGCGAGAAGGCGGAGAUGAUGAUGAGGAUGAGAUUGUGGCGUUUGCGAAGAUUUUGACUCCCUCUGAUGCGAAUAAUGGUGGCGGUUUCUCUGUUCCGAGGUUUUGUGCGGACUCCAUCUUCCCGCCGUUGAACUACCAAGCGGAUCCGCCUGUACAAACCAUAACAGUAACCGACAUUCAUGGCAUUUCUUGGGAUUUUAGGCACAUUUAUCGAGGGACGCCUCGCAGGCACUUGUUAACCACCGGGUGGAGUAAGUUCGUGAACCACAAGAAGUUGAUCGCUGGUGAUUCGGUGGUUUUCAUGAGGAAUUUGGCGGGAAAUAUGUUUAUUGGAGUGCGCAGGGCUGUGAGGUCGAACAAUGAUGAGGAUUGCUCUAGGUGGCGGGAGCAGAUUGGUUGCGGAACUGGAGAUGUGAAAAUAAAUGUGAAGGAGGAGGGGUUCUCGAGGAGCGGGAGAGGGAGAGUGUCGCACAAGGCUGUCAUGGAGGCAAUAGAGAGGGCAGCGCAGGGUUUGCCAUUUGAGGUGGUGUAUUAUCCGAGAUCUGUUUGGUACUCAGAUUUCGUGGUGAGGGCUGAGGUGGUGGAGCGAGCGCUCAAUGUGUUUUGGACUGCUGGGAUGAGAGUGAAAAUGUCAAUGGAGACGGAGGACUUAUCCCGAACGACAUGUUUUCAGGGUACAAUUUCAUCUGCGGCUGUGCCAGACUGUGGUCCCUGGCGUGGCUCUCCUUGGCGUAUGCUUCAGGUUACAUGGGAUGAACCUGAAGUUUUACAAAAUGCAAAGAGAGUGAACCCUUGGCAAGUUGAAUUUGUUGCGCCCACACCACCACUUCAUGAUGCAUUCCCUCCUGAGAAUAGAUUCAAAUUUCCUGAAAAUUCUGGGUUGCUGACAGACGGAGACGGAGAACUCUUCUUUCCUAUGUCGGGACCAUGUAAUUCAACAAUUGGGAACAUGAACCAGUCAUUGUUGAAUUUUAACACUUCUCCUGCUGGCAUGCAGGGAGCCAGGCAAGAUCCUUUUUCCAUUUUUGGUUUGUCCAGCUUCUUAAGUGAGACUGCUUCUCAGACAUGCCCUGAUAAUGUCUUUGAUAACAAAAUGGUGCCAAAGUUGAAAACCGUGUCCACUGAGCUGAACAUUGGCAGUUCUCAGUCUGAUUACUUAUCCUCAGAUAGUCAGAGUAGCGUGCAUUCUUUUGCUACAGAACUUGUUGGAAAUUCGCGCUGCAACUCAACACAAGUUGGUAUUAGUUCUUUUCAGUUAUUUGGUAAGAUCAUUCACAUAAACCAGCCUGUUGAAAGUGGUUUUGAUGAUGCUGGCUACAUGGAAGAUUGUGGCAGUAAAGGUUAUAAUGAAAACAGUCCGCUAGAUCUUGCAUUAUCAUCCUCUUAUACGGAACUGCUCAACAGGAUUGAUGUCCAAUGCCAGAGAGCAUCAGAGGUUGAAGCGUGCUCUUUAUGAACUAGUAGUCGUGAAAUGUCAGGCAGAUGAAUAGCUGAACAGGUACUAUAAGCAGGCAGGAAGCUGACUUCUUAUUAGACCCUGGCAGUGGUAACUAGUGUGUGUUACUGUGUUUGAUUUAGUUAGCAAUGUUGGAACUCAGACAAUAUUAAACUUAGUAUGUGUUUUAAAUCAAGUACUGAAUGUUUGUGUGGCAUAUACAAUAUCGUUUGAGAGUAGAUCAUAUUUCUUUGUUGCUUUAUGCCAUUUCGUUUCAUCUCAGAGGAUGGGGAAACAACUGGGUUUCCUUGAUGAUUUUAUCUAAAAUAAGGGAAUUACCUGCAUUUGGGAUUUUGGGAAAAUGAUGCUUGUUCAGGAUGUUAGGGGAAUGUGCUGAUGCCCAUAAGUGGACAUGCCUGAGUGCAGGAACGGCAUGUGUUCCUUCUCAGGAUCACAAUAUGUUUGCUGCUUUCUUAUUUUUUAGUUCUUGUGGAGCUAUUUGAUUUUGCAUCAGCCUAGUCUAAAUAAGAUUGUUCUGUAGCAAACUUCUUGACGGCUAAAAGGACAAGUUUUUCCUCCUUUGCCUGAGAGUAAAAACUAUAUAGACCUUCUAUGAGCGGCUUCAUAUAUGGUCAGAUGGUGAGACUGUGAAUGACUCAAAAAGUUAAGAUGCGUACCAACCAACAUGCUGUAGGUGCAAUGACUGCUCUUUUCUGUAUUCUGAAGGACUGCAUUUUACAUUUGAGAAAGCAGCAACUAUCAAUGAGCAUAUGAUUGGUCACCUGGUCUUGAGCUGGAUUUGUUGUGUAUGGUAAACACUUGAUUCAUCA
rnacentral:misc_RNA from 1 species